UGGUGGGCACUCUAAGGAGACUGCCGGUGACAAACGGAGGAAGGUGGGGAUGACGUCAAGUCAUCAUGGCCCUUACGGCCUGGGCUACACACGUGCUACAAUGGUCGGUACAAAGGGUUGCCAAGCCGCGAGGUGGAGCUAAUCCCAUAAAACCGAUCGUAGUCCGGAUCGCAGUCUGCAACUCGACUGCGUGAAGUCGGAAUCGCUAGUAAUCGUGAAUCAGAAUGUCACGGUGAAUACGUUCCCGGGCCUU
rnacentral:rRNA from 1 species